GUGGGGAAUAUUGGACAAUGGGCGAAAGCCUGAUCCAGCCAUGCCGCGUGUGUAAAGAAGGUCUUCGGAUUGUAAAGCACUUUAAGUUGGGAGGAAGGGCAGUAAGUUAAUACCUUGCUGUUUUGACGUUACCAACAGAAUAAGCACCGGCUAACUUCGUGCCAGCAGCCGCGGUAAUACGAAGGGUGCAAGCGUUAAUCGGAAUUACUGGGCGUAAAGCGCGCGUAGGUGGUUCAGCAAGUUGAAGGUGAAAUCCCCGGGCUCAACCUGGGAACUGCGUCCAAAGCUGCAUGACUAGAGUACGGUAGAGGGUAGUGGAAUUUCCUGUGUAGCGGUGAAAUGCGUAGAUAUAGGAAGGAACACCAGUGGCGAAGGCGACUACCUGGACUGAUACUGACACUGAGGUGCGAAAGCGUGGGGAGCAAACAGGAUUAGAAACCCUGGUAGUCC
rnacentral:rRNA from 1 species